ACACUUAACUGGAAGGUGAGAUACCAUGAUCACUAAGGUGGUUCUGCCAGGGCAAGGCUCAUCAUCUGCACUCUGGGUGUGCUGGCCCCUGCGAUUUCCCCUAAUGCAGGAAGGUCACUGCAUUAUUUGCAGUAGUUGGGGACUGCGUUUCUGCUUCUGGCUCUGG
ensembl:snRNA U1 U1 spliceosomal RNA